UUCACGAUGUUACACGAUUCUUUGCGAUAUUGUCUUAAAACCUGUCCAGUUUUCCUUACUACACACGCAUGUAUACACAUUUAGUUUUCUAUGGAUUGGCAUCGACCAAUCGUAGAAAGCGAAAUGCAAAAGUAACGGUUUUCUUGCAUCGAAUUUAAACAAACGUCGUUACGUCAUAUAUCUGUGGCUCGACACGAUCAAGAAAAUACUACGACCGAACUUCGUCCAUGGUUUCACGCUACCACCAUAUACCAUCUCGAUUAUCUCGGGUAUAGCGACUUCUCGCACGGACGCCACAGACGUGCCAUAAAGAUUGUCAUUGUACUGUCCGGCCUCUAUGAACAAAUGAUUUUGAAUGUCCCUCUCCAUCUGUUCCCUAGAUGCGACGAAA